rnacentral:rRNA from 1 species
UGCCAGCCGCCGCGGUAAGACAGAGGGUGCAAACGUUGUUCGGAAUUACUGGGCAUAAAGAGCACGUAGGCGGCUCAUCAAGUCACGCGUGAAAUCCCCCGGCUCAACCGGGGAACUGCGUGUGAUACUGGUGGGCUAGAGGACGGUAGGGGUGAGUGGAACUCCAGGUGGAGCGGUGAAAUGCGUAGAUAUCUGGAGGAACACCGGUGGCGAAAGCGACUCACUGGACCGUAACUGACGCUGAGGUGCGAAAGCUAGGGUAGCAAACGGGAUUAGAUA